GUGCUCGCUUCGGCAGCACAUAUAGCAAAACUGUACGAUACUGAGAAGAUUAGCAGGGCCCCUGAGCAAGGAUGAUAUGCAAAUUCGUGAAAUAUUCCAUAUUUUG